GCACCGCUGAGGAGUCCCAUAAUAGGACGAAACGUCCGUCCGGUGU
rfam:Schistosoma mansoni strain Puerto Rico chromosome 5, complete genome